ensembl:lncRNA
CUGGUGACACAAUGUCCCCACCGCAACGAGCCUGGGACGUCCGGUUCAUGCCCAACGCCCCUGCCAGCAGUGAGUGGCUCCAUCCUGAUUAGCAAGAGAAAUUGGCAGACCAGGCCCGUAGUCCAGGCCGAGCCGGUUCCUGUGGCGACGAGCCAACGUUUAUCAUUUAAAUGACAAUUGCGAGAAACAGGAGUUUCUAAAAGCCCCCAAAGGAAAAAGUCUGUCUCAUGAAGCCACAUAGGAUUUUUCUGCCUCAUCCAACUGGUUUUCUUUAUGAAUAUUCACAACUGUCACCAGCUUAUUCUCCUCCUGUUAAUAUGCUUCUGUCCUGGAAAUCUAAUUUGAACAAAGAGGACUUGCGUCAGUCACUCAAAGUCUAGAAACUGCUGCCAUCCUCUGACGAAAUCCAGGCUUCCGAUUGCCUGCCUGACUAGAUGCUAACUUGCUGCCCUGGAGAUGAGGUGGGGGUGACAGAGGUCUGUAGCAAAUCAGAAAAGGAUCCCUGACACUGCUUUCUCUCCAGUGAGAAUGAUGGAAAACAACAGUCAAAGCCUUAUCUAUAUGCAGGAAACUGAAGCCAGACCCAUAUCUUUCACCUUGUACUAAACUAAAAUCUAAAUGGAGCAAAGAUCUAAACAUUAAAAACAUACACUUUGAACCUACUGGAGGAUAAAACACAUACAACUCAUGAAGUCAUAAGUACAGGCAAGGACUUUCUGAACAGAACCCCCACAGCACAAGAAAUAAUACUGAGAAUCAACAAAUAAGAUCAUCAAAUUACAAAGCUUCUGCACAGCAAAGGAAAUACAGUGAAGAGACAGCCUACAGGAUGGGAAAAAAUUGCCAACUAUGACUCAGACAGAAGAUAAUUCCUAGAAUAUAUAAAGAAUUCAAAAAAAUUUACACCCCCCAAUAUAGAAGGUCCCAUCAAAAAAUGGGCAACUGAAAUGAACACACUUCUCAAAAGAAGUCCAAAUGGCCAAUAAACAUAUGGAAGAAUGCUCAACAUUGCUAGCCAUUAGAGAAUGCAAAUUAAAUCCACACAGAUUCCAUCUCACUCCAGAAGGAAAGGCAAUCAUUAAGAAAUCAAAUAUCCAAUGCUAGUGGGGCUGUGGUGAAAAGGAAACACUUCUUCAUUGGUGGGAGUAUAAACCGGUACAACCACUAUGGGAAUCAGCAUGGAGACCUCUCAAAGAAGUAAAAUGAGAAAUUCCAUUUAACCAGCUAGUUCCCUUGUAGGUGUCUUCCCAAAAUAGCUAAAGACAUUGUAUUACAGUGAUCCAUGCACACCCAUGUUUAUAGCAGCACAAUUCGUAAUAGCUGAGUCUUGGAAGUAGCUUAUAUGUCCAUCAACAGAAGAAUGAACAAAGAAAAUGUGCUAUCUAUACAUAAUGGAGUACUACUCAAGUAUAAAGGAGAAUAAAUUUGAAACAUUUGAGGAAAAUGGAUACACCCAGAAAAUAUAAUGUUAAGUGAACUAAAUCAGACAGACAAUAUAUAGUAUCUCUCAUUUUAAUAGGGCAAAGUGUAAAUGAAAAAGCAAAAUAAAGAUUUAAUAGAAGGAAAUAGGGAGAUUGAUCCUUUGCAAACAGGUAGGGAUCUUAUAGACUGAGGGGUAGGGAAGGAGAAGCAAAAAGAUUUAAGAUGUGUCAUUGUCUUAGUUACUUUCUCGUUGCUAAGACAAAAUACCCAACACCUCCAAGAAAGCAGGAAAGGUUUAUUUUGGCUCACAGUUUGUAGAGGUUUCAGUCCAAGGCAGGGUGGCAUGGCAGACAGGCAUCGCAGGGGAGAAACAGUCCAUGGCAGGGUAGGCAGGAGGCAGCUGCAGCAGCUGUGAGCCUCCCUUUCCAUUUUAUCACAUCCAGGCUACAGGCCUUUUGGGUGGUGCCACCCACACCCAGGGUGGGGCUUCAAUGAUCCACACCCAGGUUUAUGCUAAACCAAUUUAGUUAUCACACAUCCUUAAUCCCAGCAUCACACAGCCAUGGUCCAGUCACCUGCAGAAAGCCCCACCUAUGGGAGGACAAACAAAUAUAAGCCAUAACAGUCAUGUACAUGUACAUGUACCAAAU